GUGAGCUUCACUUACUUUCUAGUCCACAGAUAGCAAACAUGGAACGGACAAGUAGCAUCAGGAGAAAAGCCAUGGCCAGACAACAUAAAGGAGAAGUCAUGAUCGCCGGAGAGCAACUCAGGUUGAGGCUUCACGAUGGAAAACUGAUCAAGGACCGACGCUACCACCUGCGCACGUAUCCUAACUGCUUUGUAGCACAGGAACUUAUAGACUGGCUUGUGGGCCAUAAGGAGGCCCCAGAUCGAGCGACCGCUGUGUGCCUCAUGCAGCACCUCAUGGAUCACGACAUCGUUCACCACGUCUGUGAUAAGAGGCCAGUAUUCAAGGAUGCCAAACUGCUGUACCGUUUCCGCAAAGAUGAUGGCACAUUUCCCUUCAACACGGAGGUGAAAAUCUUCAUGCGAGGACAGCGACUGUAUGAACAUCUCAUAGGGGACAAGCACUCCAUUCUGCAGCUAAGAGAGGGGCAUGGCGUUGCAUAUCAGCGCUCUUUUCCCGGCUGCCAACUGAUUGACUGGCUCCUUCAGAAUGGAGAGGCAGAGAGCCGGCGUCGGGGAUUGGAACUGUGCCGCGCAUUGCAGGAGCAUGGCAUCAUUCAGCACGUGGCAAAGAAGCACAACUUCUUCGACAGUGGACUGCUCUAUCAGUUCUGCAUCAAUUUUCGCCGCCGCCGCCGCCUUUCUGAGCUGUUAAACGAAAGUGAGCAGGACGAUAACGAAGGUGUGGCAGUGUCAACACAAGAAGACAACCAUCCUGAGAGUCCAUUUGUUCUGCGCAAAAGCCAACCUCAGGAGGGCAACAGUGCUUUCCAGUCUGUGGAGUCGAGUAAAGACCUGAAACAGGUUAUCAGUGGGGGUCGAGGCAGCUUGAAUCCCGUUCAGCUUCACUCAGAUGGAUUUCCAUCGCUUGUCCAGCUGUCGUCAGCUUCAGUGGCGAGAUGCAAUCCAAAAUCAGUGCUAAGAAGAAAUUUUACAUGUGAAGAGUUACUGGCGCCUGGAGCACCCUUUAUCAAGAGAGUGUUGACGGUGAGUUACUGUACCGGCUUGACUUACAGUAUGUCAUCUCUAGGAUUUAACAGGAUGAAGUCAGUAAAACCUGAACAACCAGUCCUCCAAGGUCUAAAAGUGAGUGAUUAUAGCAUUUAGUAGGGUACAAAAAUAAAACACUCCUCUACAAACUUAGCGGUGGUGAGCUUUUGCCUACAGGUGAUUGGAGACGCCCUGGGCUGGGGCUUUGUUGUCAGAGGCAUGGCUCCCUGUUACGUGCAGGCUGUUGACCCUGGAAGCCCCGCAGCAGCUGCUGGAGUGAAGGUGCGGCAGUUUGUGUACCAGGUG